rnacentral:lncRNA from 1 species
UGAGGGAUGACUGCAAAGAUAAAACAAGAAAGUGAAGAGCAAAGCAGACAAAAUUAAUACACCGAGUAAGGAGAUUCAGAUACCUAAAUUAUUCUGAAAAGCUGAGUUACCAUCUGACUUUCUCCCAGAAUCUUGGUCCAGAAUAUUGGGGAAGAGAGGCUUCAGGAAUUUGAACUCACCAGUCCCAGAGUCGCCAGUGAGACAGACCUCAUACCGGUAGCUGUGGGACAGCGUCCCAGCGCCGCCGACGUCCACCAGGCGGCCCGGAAAGG